rnacentral:rRNA from 1 species
UACGUAGGGACCGAGCGUUGUCCGGAUUCAUUGGGCGUAAAGGGUGCGUAGGCGGUCGUGCAAGUCGGAUGUGAAAUCUCAGGGCUCAACCCUGAAACUGCAUUCGAUACUGCGCGGCUAGAGUGCUGGAGGGGAGACUGGAAUUUACGGUGUAGCAGUGAAAUGCGUAGAUAUCGUAAGGAAGACCAGUGGCGAAGGCGAGUCUCUGGACAGCAACUGACGCUGAGGCACGAAGGCCAGGGGAGCAAACGGG